GUAAUCAGUUUAUUGACAGGUGAUCAGGACGAGAUGAGUCUUCCUGUGGCUUCAGGUUGAGGCCGGCUCAGUGAAACUCUACAGCUAAUAAAUUAUAACGUUAACUUUAAAUAAAGCAGCUUAGGAGCAAAGAAAGAAAGAAAAGGCACAAAUGGACCAAAUAAAUAUAUUAAAAUGUAAUUAAUGGAAACAUUUCUGAUCUAAAAUGAAUAAAGUGACGUUUUCAGACGUUCAGUCGGCUGCUUACAGACAUUAAAACACUGGAAGGUUCAAUCAGCUUCAGAUCAGUGUAACUCAUCACAGGUUUGUUUAGGGUCAAAGGUCAGAGGUCAGGGUUAGGGCAGGUGAGGCUGAUCUGGGAGGUCAGAGGUCAGGGUUAGGGCAGGUGAGGCUGAUCUGGGAGGUCAGAGGUCAGGGUUAGGGCAGGUGAGGCUGAUCUGGGAGGUCAGGGUUAGGGCAGGUGAGGCUGAUCUGGGUCAGAGGUCAGGUGAUGAUGCGUUUCAGAGCAUCAGGUUGAGGUCGGCCAGCAGAGCGUCGACGUCACACAGAGGAGCUCUCCAGUAGUU